AAAAUGUCCCUCAGCCAGGUGCUCAGCCCCUGAUAAGCUGAAGCUCAGGCCCUUCCUGGUGCCCUGGUCUCCUGCACUGAGCUGUGUGAGCUCUUCAGCCCAGGUGGGCUCCCUGACAUUGAUGCGCAUAGAUGGUGAGCCUGGAGGAAGACUUGCAUUGGGCCCGAUGGACCCAGGCCAGUGGCCAUCAGCCAGGUGCCCACCCUGGUGUGCUGAAGCUCAGGACCUACCUGUUGUCCUGGUUUCCUGCACUGAGCUGUGCGAGCUCUUCAACCCAGGCGGGGCACUCUGGCAUUCACCGGCAUAGAUCGUGAAAUGGGAGGAAGAAUUGUGUUCGGCCUAAUGGCCCUGGGACAGUGUCCGUCAGCCUGGCAUCCAGCCCCUGGUGUGCUGAAGCUCAGGCCCUUCCUGGUGCCCUAGUCUCCUGCACUGAGCUUGUGAGCUCUUUCACCCAGCAGACUCCCUGGCAUUGACCGGCAUAGAUGGCGGCCCUGGAGGAGGACUUGUAUUGGGGCCACUGACCCCACGUCAGUGUCUGUCAGCCCGGCAUCCAGCCCCUGGUGUGCUGAAGCCCAGGCCCUUCCUGGUGCCCUAGUCUCCUGCACUGAGCUUGUGAACUCUUCUGCUCAAGCAGGUCCCCUGGCAUUGACCAGCACAGGUGAGUGGAUCCUGCUGGGUUCAUCGGCCAUGAGCCAGAAACAUGAGGUCACUGAGGGUCAGCCUUCAGGACAGGAAGAUUUCCUCGGGGAGCCAACCUGAAUCCCCACCGCGGAGGGAUGCGUUGGUCCUCCAGGAGGGUGGCUUCCUGGGGAAUCUGACCCCAUGAGGACACCUUCGCUGAAGCCCUGCAGGGGUUUUGGUGGGCCAGGCCGGAAAGGUUUCCUUCAGUGUCAUGUGGGGCAGCUCUCUGCUGACAUUCAGUGGGUGCGUCUGACCUCCAGGACUGUCUGGGCCACAUGAGCAGGGCAACAGGUGCUCCAGGGUGUCACAGGGAUUAUGCAGGGGGCUCUCUGUCCCCAGAGAGAGGUGGGCGAUCGGACCCAUGUGGUCAGGCUUGUAGGGUUCGGUGGUGGGGAGAGUCAAGGGUUCCCUGGGUUCAUUACCAUCACUGUUUCACCUGGAUCCCAUCACAUGGGUCCAUGGAGGGAGCGCAUGUGUGUGCAGGCACCCCUUGCUCCCUUUUCCACAUGAGCCCCUGGUUGGACACAUGUCCUCCUUCUGUUCCCCCAGAUGGUGGCCCUGGAGUAGGACUUGUAUUGGGGCUACUGGCCCCAUGUCAGUGUCCAUCAGCCCGGAGUCCAGCCCCUGGUGUGCUGAAGCUCAGGCCCUUCCUGGUGCCCUAGUCUCCUGCACUGAGCUUGUGAGCUCUUCUGCCCAGGUGGUCCCCCUGGUCUUAAUGGGCAUAGGGUAAGGCCCUGUUUGGACCCAUCCUCCACCUAUCUCACCAGAUGGUGAGCCCAGAGGAAGACCCCCUGGCUCUGGGCCAGUGUCCGUCAGCCAGGUCCCUGGUCCCCAGUGCGCUGAAGCUCAGGCCCUUCCCAACACCCUGGUCUCCUGCACUGAGUGAACUCUUCUGCCCAGGUGGGCCCUCUGACAUUGACCGGCAUAGAUGGUGAACUCAGAGGAAGACUUGCAUUGGGCCCAGUGGACCUGGGCCAGUGUCUGUCAGCCAGGUCCCCAGCUCCUGAUGCACUGAAGUUCAGGCCCUUCCUGGAGCCCUGGUCUCCUGCCCUGAGCUGUGAUGGUGAGCCUGAAGGAGGACUUGCAUCAGGACCAAUGGACCCUGGCAAGUGUCUGUCAGCCAGGUGCUCAGCCCCUGGUGCACUGAAGCUCAGGCCCUUCCUGGCCCCCUGAUCUCCUGCACUGAGCUGUGUGAGCUCUUCUGCCAAGGGGGGGCCUCCUGGCAUUGACCAACAUAGAUAGUGAGCCUGGAGGAAGAUUUGCGUUGGGCCCAAUGGCCCUGGGCCAGUGUCUGUCAGCCAGUUUCCCAGCCCCUGGUGCACUGAAGCUCAGGCCUUUUCCUGGCAUCCUGGUCUCCUGCACUGAACUGUGUGAGUGCUUCUGCCCAGGUAGGCCACUUGGCAUUGACCAGCAUAG
rnacentral:antisense_RNA from 1 species